ensembl:lncRNA
UCUCUCUCUCUCUCUAUAUAUAUGUUUGUGUGUGUGUGUGUGUGUGAGAGAGAGAGUUUUCUUUAUUAAUGUUAACCUGUCAAUUUUUUCAUGUAUUUUUCAAUUGUAUUACUAAUUUUACUAUUAAUUUAAUAUGUGGUAGCUAUAUAGCUAAGCUCAACUCUUUUUCUCUAAACUUUCCACUGACCCCCGAGUACGAUCCUCAUUUGGGGGUCCUGGGACCCCAUUUUGAACUCCCCUGAAACAGUACACACAUGGUACUGAAAUGUAUUCAGCAAUACCAUGGUAUUGAUAUGAUAUUACAAGAACACCAUGAACAUUCCGACAUACGAAAACAUGUAAUUAGCUAAGUGGUAAUACUGUAACGCUGGUGUUUACUAUGGUGAUAUUUGUAAUAUUACUAUAUUUGACCGGUCUUACCAGACUUCUCCAGCAGCUGGAUGGACUGGCUGUAGAGGCUUACAGCUUCUCCGUACUGACCGGCUCUGAAGCACUCGUUACCGGCUUGUUUGAGCUCCGUCCACGACUGCGAGCGCCGCUUCUGAGGCAUGAUGAUACUGGAACGAUCAAAGGCAGCGUGAACCUGCCGUCCCAUGUUGGUCUGAAUCGGCCCCCGCUGUAAGUGUCCCUCGACUGUUUCCGUAGUUUGGCCCCACAUAAACGCCUUCCUUUCCGAGAAGCCGGACGUGAGUGCUGAAGGUCGUGAAUUAAACGGUAAAUAUCGAGCUUGCUAUACGCUUACAUCAAAACUUAUAUGCUGAAAUCUGUAUAAAAUAUAAUAAUACAACUGUUAUGUUUUUAACACUAUAUAAGAGUUGAUUUAUUUUAGCUAAACGUGCCUCGUUUUUGAAGUACGUCUUGCCGCUUGUCGUCAUUGCUAGCAAACUUAGUGUUAGCUAGACAGGUAUUUAUGUCUCAGAAUAUACUCACCUGCUGAUACGAGGCUGUUAUGUAUCUAUAAUGUUAUAUUUAAAAUAAAAGAAAGCUCUUCUUUGCGUUUGCA